rnacentral:rRNA from 1 species
UUAAAAUGUAUAAACCUAAAUUAUUAGUAGUUAAGUUCUUGAAAAUUAAUGAAGAUGGCGGUAUUUUAGUCUAUUCAGAGGAAUCUGCCCUGUAAUUGAUGAUCCACGAUUUAAAUUACUUAAGGUUUUAGCUUAUAUAUCGCUGUAGAUCGAAUAUUUUUAUUGGAUUUUAAUAUUCAUAAUUUUGUGAGAAAGGAUAUCAAGUCAAGAUGUAGCUUAUACUUAAGAAGAGGUGGAUUACAUUAUUUGUGUAUGUGGUUAGUAGCAUGAAAGGGCUAUUAUAAAAUGGAUUUGAAGGUAAUUUUCUAUUAAGAUUUAGAUAAUGAUUAUAGCUCUAAAAUA